UCUUGGAGUUCUCUAGCACAGGGGCCAUGAAAAUCAAUGACUUCCUUGUUUGCUGAUGGAGCAGAGGUAGAAUCUCUUGGUGUUUCCACAGAGAAAACACUGACCAUGAAGAGCCAAGAAAGAUGACAUGAUGAAGCCAUCAGGGGAAGCACCAAACAUCCUCAACUCUGCUCACCCAUGGUUUUCUCCCACCCUCCCAGAGCUCCUCCUGCUGAUGGGCCCCCGACAUGAAACUGGCACUCAGAAUGAAGAAUGCCUUUUCCAGCCUCUCUCGCUGGUGGAGUCUCCGUGUUCCAGCCAAUGAAGUAGGGCAUGCAGUUGCCUGCCCCACUGAAGUCAACUUCAGCCUGAAGAUUGGGAGACUUCCGAAAGUGGAAAACUUGGAAGGAGGAAGCCUGGACAGCCUGCAGUUGAGGGGACCUGCACAAGCUCACAGGACUCUUCAUCACCAUGACACCACCCUCACCGCAAAAUAAAAAUGAUUAAACCUGU
rnacentral:lncRNA from 1 species